UGGGGAAUAUUGGACAAUGGGCGAAAGCCUGAUCCAGCCAUGCCGCGUGUGUGAAGAAGGCCUUUUGGUUGUAAAGCACUUUAAGUGGGGAGGAAAAGCUUAUGGUUAAUAUCCAUAAGCCCUGACGUUACCCACAGAAUAAGCACCGGCUAACUCUGUGCCAGCAGCCGCGGUAAUACAGAGGGUGCAAGCGUUAAUCGGAAUUACUGGGCGUAAAGCGCGCGUAGGUGGUUAUUUAAGUCAGAUGUGAAAGCCCCGGGCUUAACCUGGGAACUGCAUCUGAUACUGGAUAACUAGAGUAGGUGAGAGGGGAGUAGAAUUCCAGGUGUAGCGGUGAAAUGCGUAGAGAUCUGGAGGAAUACCGAUGGCGAAGGCAGCUCCCUGGCAUCAUACUGACACUGAGGUGCGAAAGCGUGGGUAGCAAACAGGAUUAGAUACCCUGGUAGUCCACGCCGUAAACGAUGUCUACCAGUCGUUGGGUCUUUUAAAGACUUAGUGACGCAGUUAACGCAAUAAGUAGACCGCCUGGGGAGUACGGCCGCAAGGUUA
rnacentral:rRNA from 1 species